GAUGAACGCUGGCGGCGUGCCUAAUACAUGCAAGUCGAGCGAACAGACGAGGAGCUUGCUCCUUUGACGUUAGCGGCGGACGGGUGAGUAACACGUAGGUAACCUACCUAUAAGACUGGGAUAACUUCGGGAAACCGGAGCUAAUACCGGAUAAUAUUUCGAACCGCAUGGUUCGAUAGUGAAAGAUGGCUUUGCUAUCACUUAUAGAUGGACCUGCGCCGUAUUAGCUAGUUGGUAAGGUAACGGCUUACCAAGGCAACGAUACGUAGCCGACCUGAGAGGGUGAUCGGCCACACUGGAACUGAGACACGGUCCAGACUCCUACGGGAGGCAGCAGUAGGGAAUCUGCCGCAAUGGGCGAAAGCCUGACGGAGCAACGCCGCGUGAGUGAUGAAGGUCUUCGGAUCGUAAAACUCUGUUAUUAGGGAAGAACAAACGUGUAAGUAACUGUGCACGUCUUGACGGUACCUAAUCAGAAAGCCACGGCUAACUACGU
rnacentral:rRNA from 1 species